CAAGUUCGAGUAGCAGUGACUAUACUAGAUUUUCUUCAAUAUUUAUCAUCUUUGAAGUGAAUUUUAAUAUUUUAUUUUUUAAUCUCUUUGUUUUAGAAUAGAAAGGCUUGCCUUUUCAUGAAUAAAAGGGUCCUUCACUAAAACACCAGAAACACUAAAAAAAAUGUGUUUGGUAAUACAUUUAGUAUAAUAUGAUGAAACAGAGAUGGUUGAAUAAUCAUCAUUAUGGUUAGCAUUGGUUUUAGAAGUUUCUUGUUGCUUCUAGCAAUAUAGUUGCCUGUGCAUGCCUUCUUGAUGUGAACUAUUUCUCCUUGAAGGUAUAUUUGAAUAGAGGAACAUAAUUGAUUAAAAAGCUCCUUCAUGAGAUCUUAUUUGGUGAUAGAGGCUCUAAAAUUAUGUCUCAAAAAUUUAAACUGUUAGAUAGAGAUACAUUCUUUAACUCCAAUGAUGGUAGUAAUCUUUAAAUGUUUAUCAUUGAUUUUAUGCAACCUUGCCAUGGGUUAGGGUAACGCUUCUGGUUGUCUUUUAUUAUGGAUAUGUGAAGACAUCAGGCAAUCUUUGUUCUUCAUUCUUGGCUUUUUCCUGCAAUGUUUUAUAGAUGGAUAAUGUUAUGUUUAUAUUUUUGUUGAGGUUUAUUAAUAUUUAUUAAAAAUAAUUGCUGCAUACACAUUUGGUUGAUUUUAUCCUUUUCAGGCAUGUUAGAACUCCUUUCUCAAGACAAACUAAUGCUUAGCCAGUGGCUAUUAACUUAUUAUGACUAAUGGCACAGUUUAGAAGAUAAUAUUUUACCCUUUUAUUGAUUUGGAUGCUUGUCUCAAAACAAAUUUGAUGUUAUUUAUUACUUAUUUCUAUAAAUGUUGAUGUUACUGUUCUUCUAGGCUGCCAACCAUCCUUAAGUUACUUAUCUUUUAUUUCAAUAUCGAUAACUUCCAAUAUCCUGUCAUAGAGCAAAAUCGUUGCAUAUUUGAUAGGAUAAAUUAUAGUUCUUUUUACUACUGAAACUAUUUAGUCUUUAAGUUCAGUUGUCUGUCUGUGUGUGUAGGCAAAUAUAAUACCCAGAAAUUUGAUAUUGCUCCACUAGUUUUUCCUACCAGAGUUGUCUGCCUGUCAUUACUAUUGCUUUGAUUCCUAAACCAAUGUGCUGUUUUUUGACCUUGUGUGUGUGUGUGUGUGUGUGUGUGUGUGUGGCUAUGCUUAGCCAAAUAUAACACCAAGAAAUUUGAUAUUGCUCCACUAGUUUUUCCUACUGGAGUUUUCUACCUGUCAUUACUAUCGCUUUGAUUCGUAAACCAAUGUGCUGUUUUUGACCUUUUGGAUGACUCUAGCUGAAAACUUGAACCACACUGCAGUAUGAUGUUAGCUUUUAAUAUCUCUACUUAUGAUAUUUUCACUUUGCUAGAUAUUUGAAGCAGCAAGCAUCUUUGGCAAAUAGAUCGUUAUCCAAGUAUAAUUUUUUUAAUACAUAUUUCUACAAGAAGCUUCAGGAGGCUAUUUCGGUUAAGCAAAGUGACAGAGGAACAUUCUUUGUCAAAUUCAGAAGGUGGUGGAAGGGUGUAAAUAUAUUUCAGAAGGCCUAUGUUUUGGUGUUUAGGAAGUUAUGGGUCAAGAAUUUUCUCACGAAGGGGUUAAUAGCGAGCAUACAUCAUAUGAUCAAUAUGAGCAGGAGGAAGAAAAACAUGAGGAAAUUGACGUGGAUUAUAUGGAUGAGGACGACACAAAUGUGGAACCAAUGUUCGAUUAUCACGGCUUCGAUGAAGGGUAUAACAUUGACUCACUUGAAGACAUUGGGAUGAUUGAAUUUUGGAACAUCAGAGAUGAAGAUGUAUGUCAUUUUCACUUUUCUGAUGUCGACAUUGCAUUUGAGUUCUACAAUAGAUAUGCAAGGACAAGAGGCUUUAGUGCUCGGAAGAACAGGACUAGGAAGAGUCGUGCGGGCGCACUUAAGUUGAAGAAUUUUGUAUGUCAUCGUGAAGGAUUUAGACCGCCAAAUAAUUACGGCAUCGGAAACCUUAAGAGAAAACCUACACCCGAGACAAGGUGUGGCUACAGUGCAAUGAUGGAGAUUCGUGUAGAUGCACCUAGCGGUCGUUGGUUUAUUUCUUAUUUUUCUGAUGAACACAAUCAUCCGCUUCUGGAUCCUCGGUUGACUGGAUUGCUCCCUGGGCAUAGAUUCAUGUCCGAGGCUGAUAUUGGCCACAUGGUUAACAUGAAAAAGGGUGGGAUUAGUGUUGGGCAGAUAUAUCGGGCAUUAGCAAAUCAGGCAGGUGGCUACGAGUAUCUCUCUUUCACGCAAAGGGACAUGUAUAAUAAAAUAGCAAAGCAGAGGCGCCAAUUACCCGGUGAUGCAUAUGCAGCUUUGAAGGCCUUGGAAAUGACACAUUUGAUAAUAACUUGGAUGACCACAUGAACAUUGAAGAUGACUCAUUAGUAAGUAUCUUUACGAAUGAGGUAUGACAAAGUUUUAUUUGCUGCUUAUUAGCUAGUACUAAUGAUAUUAUAUUGCUGAUAUUAUAUGUAUAUGAUGAGAGUGCUUCCUACAGUAGCAAUGAAGUGCUGUAAUAAGAUUGAGUAGCUGAAAUGAUGUUUUCUUGGAUCAAAACUUUAUCAUCUUGUAAGCAGAUGACUUAAAAGUAACAGGCGUUGGGUGGUUUGCUGCUGGAUUUUGUGUUUUCUAGUAAAUGAAUGAGCUAUUAUUUGAUAGAUUAAAUCAGACAGCUAGGGAUGUUGCCUAUGUACAAUGGCCAAGUGCUGCAAUGAUGAAUGCACAUUCAUAUGACCAAUUUAGGCAUGCUGUUUUCCAGGCUUCGUUUGGUCAACAGCCGUUGAGCUUUGACUAUUCACAAAACUACUAGAUGACAUUUUAGGGGGGGGGGGAGUUAUGGAAUUGGAUGCAGAAGUUGUUACCUUAGUAUGUUUAGUUAUUUCAUGUUAGGUUUGUUCUUGAGUAUUCUAUCAUAGACAUUUGUUGCUGUUGUAGUAUGUCUUUGACUUUCAGUUUUGAUGGGUUAUACUAGCAUAUAUGAUAUCAUAUCUGGUACUUCUAGUUUGACAGUCUAUAUAAAAUAGUAAAUUUAUUUCUAGACUUAAA